GCAUUAGAUAUCUCGGGGUAGAGUUGGGUUUGGACCCAAUAACUGUUAGGUGAGGGUCCCAAUGAUGGCUUUGCAUUUGCUGGUAUACGGUGGGUCUAACUUAACUAAAAAAUAUAUCAAUAACUGUUAGGUGAGGCCACAGAACUUAGAGACCGAACCAAUUACAUCUUGCUUAGUGAAACAAUGGAUAAAGACUUGUCCACUCAUUGGUUUGUGUGUUUUCAAUAACUGUUAGGUGA
rnacentral:lncRNA from 1 species